UGGCGGCAUGCCUUACACAUGCAAGUCGAACGGCAGCGCGGGGCAACCUGGCGGCGAGUGGCGAACGGGUGAGUAAUAUAUCGGAACGUACCCAGGAGUGGGGGAUAACGUAGCGAAAGUUACGCUAAUACCGCAUACGUCCUACGGGAGAAAGUGGGGGAUCGCAAGACCUCAUGCUCAUGGAGCGGCCGAUAUCUGAUUAGCUAGUUGGUAGGGUAAAGGCCUACCAAGGCAUCGAUCAGUAGCUGGUCUGAGAGGACGACCAGCCACACUGGAACUGAGACACGGUCCAGACUCCUACGGGAGGCAGCAGUGGGGAAUUUUGGACAAUGGGCACAAGCCUGAUCCAGCAAUGCCGCGUGAGUGAAGAAGGCCUUCGGGUUGUAAGGCUCUUUUGUCAGGGAAGAAACGGUCUUGGAUAAUACCUAAGGCUAAUGACGGUACCUGAAGAAUAAGCACCGGCUAACUACGUGCCAGCAGCCGCGGUAAUACGUAGGGUGCAAGCGUUAAUCGGAAUUACUGGGCGUAAAGCGUGCGCAGGCGGUUUUAUAAGUCUGUCGUGAAAUCCCCGGGCUCAACCUGGGAAUGGCGAUGGAGACUGUAAGGCUAGAGUUUGGCAGAGGGGGGUAGAAUUCCACGUGUAGCAGUGAAAUGCGUAGAGAUGUGGAGGAACACCGAUGGCGAAGGCAGCCCCCUGGGUCAAAACUGACGCUCAUGCACGAAAGCGUGGGG
rnacentral:rRNA from 1 species